rnacentral:rRNA from 1 species
UACGUAGGGGGCUAGCGUUGUCCGGAUUUAUUGGGCGUAAAGAGCGUGUAGGCGGCCAGGUAGGUCUGCUGUGAAAACUCGAGGCUCAACCUCGAGACGUCGGCGGAAACCAUCUGGCUAGAGUCCGGAAGAGGAGAGUGGAAUUCCUGGUGUAGCGGUGAAAUGCGCAGAUAUCAGGAAGAACACCAGUGGCGAAGGCGACUUACUGGACGACUGUUGACGCUGAGGUGCGAAAGCGUGGGGAGCAAACAGG